rnacentral:rRNA from 2 species
AAACUAAAACUUUCAACAACGGAUCUCUUGGUUCUGGCAUCGAUGAAGAACGCAGCGAAAUGCGAUAAGUAAUGUGAAUUGCAGAAUUCAGUGAAUCAUCGAAUCUUUGAACGCACAUUGCGCCCCUUGGUAUUCCGGGGGGCAUGCCUGUUCGAGCG